rnacentral:lncRNA from 1 species
GUAAUUGCAACCAAUUUUGGGUUUGGAAGGAAUUUGAGAAAGUUAGGGUUUUAUAUCCCCAAUUCUGUCCGGUUUUGUACCUCAUGGUUAGAGGCCGAAUUGGUUUUGGCUUAAAACACAAAAGUUGUAGGUAUUGAUGUUUUAAAGGUGUCUGUAAAAUUUCAGGUCAAUUGGAGUAGUGUGGAGUGAGAAAAGUCGGAAAUACUGAGACGGGUCUGGGAAGGGGUGCUGCGAACAGGGUUGCCUUUUCACUCAAUUUGACCAUGACCUUUCACCCUGAUUCUCACCGAAUUAGAUUUUGGCCAAAACAUGAAAGUUGUAGCCAAGGCUAUAAAAUAGUUGCCUGUAAAUUUUCAGCUUGAUCCGACCACUGUAGCAUGUGAAAUGACCGAAAUACCCUUGACUAUUUUUGAAACCUGUUUCGCGCCCAGAUUUUUGUUUUCGUGUAGUCUUCCAUUUUCGAUCAUGAAAAUGCACGAUUUGGCCUUUGAGGUCUUCUGAUGAAAUGUAGCUUGAUGUAUUAGCUACCAUAUACCUUUGGAAUUUCUGGAUUUGGACUUGUAGAGCCUGAGUUAUGAUGUUUCCGCUAGAAUGCAUUUUGGUGAAUCUGUUUUACGUUUUUGAUGUGGUAUCUUGCCUUUUUGACCUAUUUGUACUCGAAACUGGGUUGAAUGACCUUCUGCAAUAUUGUAGCCCUGACUCU